rnacentral:rRNA from 1 species
CAGUCGCCGCGGGAAUACGAAGGGGGCGAGCGUUGCUCGGAAUGACUGGGCGUAAAGGGCGCGUAGGUGGCGUGCACAGUCAGAUGUGAAAUUCCUGGGCUCAACCUGGGGGCUGCAUUUGAUACGUGCGUGCUAGAGUGUGGAAGAGGGUCGUGGAAUUCCCAGUGUAGAGGUGAAAUUCGUAGGUAUUGGGAAGAACACCGGUGGCGAAGGCGGCGACCUGGUCCAUUACUGACGCUGAGGCGCGAAAGCGUGGGGAGCAAACAGGAUUAGAUACCCCUGUAGUCCCUGUCUCUUAUAC